AUUGAACGCUGGCGGCAUGCCUUACACAUGCAAGUCGAACGGUAGCGGGCCUUCGGGUGCCGACGAGUGGCGAACGGGUGAGUAAUGUAUCGGAACGUACCUUUCAGUGGGGGAUAACGUAGCGAAAGUUACGCUAAUACCGCAUAUUCUGUGAGCAGGAAAGCAGGGGAUCGCAAGACCUUGCGCUGAUUGAGCGGCCGAUAUCAGAUUAGCUAGUUGGUGAGGUAAAGGCUCACCAAGGCGACGAUCUGUAGCGGGUCUGAGAGGAUGAUCCGCCACACUGGAACUGAGACACGGUCCAGACUCCUACGGGAGGCAGCAGUGGGGAAUUUUGGACAAUGGGGGCAACCCUGAUCCAGCCAUGCCGCGUGAGUGAAGAAGGCCUUCGGGUUGUAAAGCUCUUUCGGCCGGGAAGAAAUCGUAUCAGCUAAUACCUGGUGCGGAUGACGGUACCGGCAUAAGAAGCACCGGCUAACUACGUGCCAGCAGCCGCAGUAAGAC
rnacentral:rRNA from 1 species